rnacentral:lncRNA from 1 species
CUCCUCUCUCUGGUCCCAUGCACUUUUAUCCCACAAGCCCUAGGACGAGUUAGUGACAACAGUAGUAAGUGUCACAGUGUAAGGUUUUUGCUGGGCUGCCUAGCCUCUGGAUGAUUACAGGCCUGGGUGCUUCUAGGGAAUAGAGAGGCAGAAACACGUAGAAUGAUCAAGUCAGAAUCAUCUUUUGGAAAUGUUGCCUAA